AUCAGCAUCUCAGAAAUGUUCAGAUCAGGACAAAUGGGCAUCUCUGAGUGGAGGAGGCAUGGAGACAAAUGCAGAUGCUGGGGACAAGGAGAAGGGAAGGAGUAGAAGGUACCGGCUAAUUUCAUUAUUGCGUCUGCUGGGGAACCUACCGACACCUGAGGAAGAAGGAAGACCUUGGACCAAGGGUAUCAUAUAAAGGAACCAGAGCUUCUAGGAGAAAGGACUGAUUCCAGGUCUGGGACAGAGAAUGUACAAGAUGAUCCUAGAACAUCUUGUCACACCAAAAAAGCAAGAAGCUAUUGAAGACCUCUGAGGCUGUCAGAAUGACCCCCAUGCCCCGGAACAGUGUCCCACUGAGCAGGGAUAAGACAGCUGGAACACCGAUGGGGAUUAUAACUGCAGAGAUUGAACCACAUCAAAUAUGCUUAAAUCCAUGAAUUCAUAAUGAUGCCAGAAGUUCACAUUUACAGGAUACU